CCCCGCCCCCACCGCUAGAUCCGCUGCUGCUGCCUCGGCGGGCCGACCUGCAGGAGGAGGUGGCGGCGGCGGCGGCGGCGGCCCAGUCCGAGGGAAGAUGGCGGACGGCGUGGACCACAUAGACAUUUACGCGGAUGUGGGCGAAGAGUUCAACCAGGAAGCAGAAUAUGGUGGGCAUGAUCAGAUAGAUUUGUAUGAUGAUGUCAUCUCUCCAUCUGCAAAUAAUGGCGAUGCCCCAGAAGACCGGGACUACAUGGAUACUCUUCCACCAACUGUUGGUGAUGAUGUGGGGAAGGGGGCAGCACCAAACGUUGUCUAUACUUACACUGGAAAGAGAAUUGCAUUGUAUAUUGGAAAUCUGACAUGGUGGACAACAGAUGAGGAUUUAACUGAAGCAGUUCAUUCUUUGGGAGUAAAUGAUAUUUUGGAGAUAAAAUUUUUUGAAAAUCGGGCAAAUGGACAAUCAAAGGGAUUUGCCCUUGUUGGUGUUGGAUCUGAAGCAUCUUCCAAAAAGUUAAUGGAUUUGCUGCCUAAAAGAGAGCUUCAUGGUCAAAAUCCUGUCGUGACUCCUUGCAAUAAGCAGUUCCUGAGUCAGUUUGAGAUGCAGUCCAGGAAAACUACACAAUCAGGACAGAUGUCUGGGGAAGGUAAAGCUGGUCCUCCAGGAGGCAGUUCACGUGCAGCAUUUCCACAAGGUGGUAGAGGACGGGGCCGUUUUCCAGGGGCUGUUCCCGGUGGGGACAGAUUUCCUGGGCCAGCAGGACCAGGAGGGCCACCUCCACCUUUCCCAGGAAAUUUGAUCAAGCAUCUUGUUAAAGGAACUCGGCCUUUGUUCCUGGAAACUAGGAUUCCAUGGCAUAUGGGGCACAGCAUAGAGGAAAUACCCAUUUUUGGCCUAAAAGCUGGACAGACUCCACCACGUCCACCUUUGGGCCCCCCAGGCCCACCUGGUCCACCAGGUCCCCCCCCUCCUGGUCAGGUCUUGCCACCGCCUCUGGCAGGACCUCCCAAUCGAGGGGAUCGUCCUCCACCACCAGUUCUUUUUCCUGGACAACCUUUUGGGCAACCUCCGCUGGGUCCACUUCCUCCUGGGCCUCCACCUCCAGUUCCAGGCUACGGCCCUCCUCCUGGUCCACCGCCUCCACAGCAGGGACCACCUCCACCUCCAGGCCCCUUCCCACCUCGACCACCAGGUCCACUUGGGCCUCCCCUUACACUUGCUCCUCCUCCACAUCUUCCGGGACCACCUCCAGGUGCCCCACCACCAGCUCCACAUGUGAAUCCGGCUUUUUUUCCUCCACCAACUAAUAGUGGCAUGCCAACAUCAGAUAGUCGAGGUCCCCCACCAACAGACCCAUAUGGCCGCCCUCCACCAUAUGAUAGGGGUGACUAUGGUCCUCCUGGGAGGGAAAUGGAUACUGCAAGAACACCAUUGAGUGAAGCUGAGUUUGAAGAAAUCAUGAAUAGAAAUCGGGCCAUCUCAAGUAGUGCUAUUUCAAGAGCUGUGUCUGAUGCCAGUGCUGGUGAUUAUGGGAGUGCUAUUGAAACAUUGGUAACAGCAAUUUCUUUAAUUAAACAAUCCAAAGUAUCUGCAGAUGAUCGUUGCAAAGUUCUUAUUAGUUCUUUGCAAGAUUGCCUUCAUGGAAUUGAGUCCAAGUCCUAUGGCUCUGGAUCAAGAAGACGUGAACGAUCAAGAGAAAGGGACCAUAGUAGAUCACGGGAAAAGAGUCGGCGUCAUAAAUCUCGGAGUAGAGAUCGUCAUGAUGAUUAUUACAGAGAGAGAAGCAGAGAGCGAGAGAGACACAGGGACCGGGAUCGGGACCGUGACCGGGAGCGCGACCGAGAGCGAGAAUACCGUCAUCGUUAGAAGUAAAUAUACCUACAUUUUAAGUGGUCCAAGUACUUGUUCUGAUUUAAUCUUCUGGAAACAUCUGAAAACAGUGUUUACUCAUGAAGAGUGGGAAAAGAGCACUGCGAAUCUUUUGCAUGUGACAGGUUAUUCUAUAAACACCUUUGCUCCAUAUAUUGAUGGCAUCCUAUAUAUGCAAUUACUUCACAGGCGUUUACUGAAAAUCUAGUUCAAAAAUUGUUGAUAUUUUAUUUGUAAUUGGCUUUAUCAUGUAUGUAAUUUUAAGACAGCAGUUUCUUUAAUGAUUGCACACCACAUACAUACACAGGAGAAAAGAGGUAUCUGUAAUUUUUAUGUAAUGUAAUAGUUACCACUCUUAACUGUUUAAGGACUUUUUGAAGUUAGGAAGCCCAUUUUAAUACUUUAUCUUGCAUUUUGACUAUGACCUUGAAUAUUUAUCAAAACCUUUUAUUAUAUGUUGUAUUAAAAAUUUUAAUUCUAAAUACAUUUAUCUACUAUUUUUAAAAUUACUAAAACUGAUAGAAAUUGGUAGUUUGAAUAUAAAAUUGAUGUCUCAUAUAAAUCUGAACUAAAUUUUAAAAAGAAGUUUUUUCAUUUCUAGUAAGAAUCCCUUAAGGUGGAUUCUGGUCAUAUCAUUACUUGAAAUGUCCAUUUCUCUGUCAUUUGAUAAGGUACAGAUUCUACAAGCUGUAUUACUUACUUACUUUUAGACCUUGCAGUUUAUCAACUAUCUUAUAGUUCCCAAAGAUAUAAUGGUGAAGCUUGGAUACAUUUUGAUUAAUUCAGUGUGUCCAUCGAGGAGCCUCUAAGCCAGUUCAUAUGUAGAGUUAAUUAUUAGCAGUUUUCUUAAAUGGGUCUUCAUUAAUUUAGUAAACCAACUACAUCCCCUUUGACAGUUUCAUUGUUAAUUUUAUAUACUUUGAAUUUAUAAUCCAGUCAAGAUUACACACCUAAAUGAUUUGAGUUCCAUGUCUUUCAGACAGUAACUACAAUUUCCUAGUGUGCAGUUGUUGACUUUUUUUUGCAAUAGGUGGUGUACCAUACCCCAAAUCCCAUGUUUUGUUUGUACAUUAAUCAGAAUUGAGUUGUAAUAUUGUUGUGUGCCUUCAUCCAAGCAAAAUUUUACAAAAGCCUUUCAGUGGGGGGUGAGAGGAGGUGGUGUUUUCCUGGAUUGUUGUACCUUUGCUAUGUGCCAAGCAGUAUUUAUUAUGGAAGUAGAUGUAAGAGGGUGGGGGCUGGGAUUAAGUACAUAUUCGAACGCAAACCUAUUUGCAAAUUAUUACCUUAUAAGGUCUGUUGACCUCUUUAGAAGUUUUUAAAUAUGAGUCCUUUUGAAUGUUCAUGUAUAUCUUAAAUGGAAUAAGUUCUUCAACAAUAAAGUAAACACGAGUCUUUGUAUAAGUUAGUAAUGUAACACAGUAUCAAGUGAUGGUGGGUGAAGGUCAGGGUCUGGAAACUUGGUGUUGGCAGCUGUUAAUGUCUGUCUCAUCCUAAGUUUUUUUUGUGUUUGAACUGUUGGGUAAUGUUAACUGCAUUCUCAUUUGAAAAAUGUAUUAGUUUUUCUAAAAGCAUUCCACAUCCAAGUUCAAAUAGAUAAUAAUACUUCAAUGAGAAAUAUAUAACAGUUUUGUAAAUUUCAGUAUGUAAAUGCAUUGUGCUUAAUAUUCUGUAAUUUUUGCCUCUAUUCUCAGACCACUCUGAGCAAAAUAAGAUGUAAGGUGUGUUCUUACAGAAAUAACCCUCCUGUUACAGUUACAGUUGAAUUCCUUUCUCUAGAUGGUGUUCUUCUGACUGCUUGUUUAGAAUAGCCUUGCUCAGGAGUCUGUUAACAAUUGAGUUGUGUACUGAAGAAUAAUGAAAGUGAAUUUUUUUCUAGAUGAUUUUUAUUCAGGCUUCUCUUUCUAAUUUAUGAGAUUUACAUGUUCUCAAAUGAUUACAUUUCUUUACUAAGUACUAUGUUUGGAGUUUGCAUUAAGUAACUGUAAGAGUAUGGGCAUGUGAUUACUUUUGGCAUAAAUGUCAUGAACUUGAAUUUAAUUACUCUAGGAUACUUUGUGUUGCUUAUUUGAUUAUUAUAGCUUUGUGUUAACUUGGGAAAGACCAAAGAAAACAUUUCUUUUAUACUAAGAUGUUUCAUCUUCUUAGGAGUGUUACGUUGAGGCUUUUGUGAAAAUUCUUUUCAUUACUUGGUAAAUAAUAACUGACUGUUAACAAGAUUUUAAAAUUAUUUCUACAACUCUUGGGUCAUUUGUUACCUGCCUAGCAUUCCCAGCCUUGUUUCCCAUAUAUCUCAAUUGCUGUGCUUUUUUGUCUUGCUGUGCUGGCUCUCGUUUCUUCUCUGAUUUACACAGUGUCUUACUUAGAGUGACAAGAGAGGGUAGGAAGUGAUCCCUUGGAUGUAUGUAUAGUGUGUUUUGCUCACUGUGGUUUAAGAAUAUAGUUUUAUUUAUAAAAAAUUGAUGUUUCUGUCUUAAAGAAAUUGAAUGCCAAUGUGAGUCACCUUGCUCUCACCUUCAUCUCAGUGUGAACUUUCCUACCAUUGUUUAGUUUGUAUAUUGGAUUGUUUUGAAUAAGUAUUUUUAUUUGUUUUAAAUGAAUAUCCAGUUAGAAUUGUUUAGAGGAAACCUACUAACCAGUUAAGAAAAGUGCCAUUCAUGUUAUCCAGAUGAACAUUUUCUGUGGUUAGCAGGUUCUAACUCUUGACAGUGGGUGAAUUUUAAAUAACAGCUCCUUUUGAAAUGUCCACAUCUUUUGAGUGACUCUUUGACACAAAGCCUUUUUCUGUUCUUUUUUUUUUCUUUUUGCAAUGUAGCUUGUUUCUACCAUGUAGUCAAUUGCAUAGAGCACCUAAUUGUGUAUUCUGUAGAGUAAUAAAAUACUUUGGUUGAAAUGGGGUAAGUAUGAUAGGAGAAAAAUAGGAAAAUAUAAACUUUCUGGUAGCUAGAAACUUUUUUGAACACCAUCAAUAAACAGAAUUAUUUUUUUAUGUACCAUGUUCUAGUCAAUAUGAGAAGAAACUUAAGAGUUAAUAUAAGUUUAGAUGUUUCUGCUACCUGCCUCAUCUCCCGUUUUCUCAUUAAGGAGACCUUCAAAUAUAGAAGGUUAAAAAUUUACUCAUUUCAAAGCAUUGCAUUUCUAAAAUUAUGUGAGGGUCCUUUCUAAUUCAGCCCAUUAAUAUGAAAAGCUGGGAGCUGCGUGUAGCAGUGACACCUGUGACCUCUGCCCCUAGAGAGACUGAUGCAGGAGGGUCCUGUGAACUCUAGGCCAGGCUGGGUUACUACACAUGGAGCUGCAGCUAGUCAGGCCUUUCUCUAUACUAAGGUCCUGUUUCAGAAAUUAAGGCAAACACACAAUAUAAAAAUUCUUAUGAGAAUCCUAUCAAAUAAAUACUCAAAUGCUUUACUUAAAAACAUGAAUUUUCCAUGAGUUUUAAAAUACAAGUUGGCAUAUAACACUCAAUUUGAGUUGUUAAUAAUGGUUUGGUAGUACAUUAUCUCAAAAUGUAGGUAUUUCGCUCUGUAUUAAAAUUAUACUGCUUGCUUUAGCUUGCAGAUUUUAAAGCUGUAGUUUCAUUGUCUUAAUUCAUUUAACAGCUGUUUACAUAGAUUCCUUUAUAACUGACAGUUAAAGCAAGUAAUUGUGUGGCUUUGACAUUAGACAUUUGGUCAGAUACUAUUUUGAACAUAUGGGCAUUGAAUGUAUUUGUCACUUUUAAGGUUUUUGAUAUCUUUGUUUAUGUAGAUGUCUGCUUAGACAUCUGAGACUAUAAUAUGGAAUUGGAUUAUUGGAAUGGUUUGUAUUGCCUUCAAAUUUUGCUUCCGUUUGAGAUUGUAAAAUUUGUGUUUAUAUGUAAAGUGUUUAGAACUAGAAAUAAAAAUUUCUAGACUAUUCCCUAAAUUUAUGUCUGUAUGGUGAAAAUUUAAAUUUUAUUAAUCAGUAAAGACCUUUCUAUACACAAUGUAGCAAGAGAUGAGUUCAUUAGUCAUAAAGAAAUGUGUUGUGACCGCACAAACAAGAUUUCGUGUAUGAAAGUAGUGAAGUUUCCAUUAGGGUCAUUCAAUAUGUACCCCGUGGCUCUUUAAAGAUUGUGAGUUUCUUCUUCUUCUUUUUUUUUUUUCUUCCUAUUCCCACACUGUGACUUUACAUAUUUUUUCUUUCAGUGAUUCAUUCUUUAUCCUUUAUAACACAACAAAAAUAUUAGGGGAGAUAGCAUUCCUUUUUUAGUAGGGUUUGUGAAUUUCCCUGCAAUCUUGGUAUCAACUCCAGAGAACAAAUAAAAACCUACCAGAAUUGUGACCUAUAAAAUAAAACCUUUGAAAACUGACGUUACAGAUUUUUUCCUGUUAAAUAAUUCCUCCAUGUAAGCCUCAUUAGCAUAACAUGAAAGUGAAAGUACAAAAGGAAAUGCUAUAAACAGCUUAAAUGUCUUUCGAAAGCACAGAUGUAUAGAAAACAUUUAGAUGAAAAAGACCCUUUCCUUUUGUACUUUUAAGAUUUUAAGUUUUUAUUAGGAAGUAUGAAUAUGUGUAUAUAUACAGUGAUUCUUCUAAAGAGAAUCGAACACAAAAUUUGUUGUUGCCACAAAAAUUAUUUCUAAUUUUAAAGAAAAGGAUCUUUUAACAUUUUUUAUGACAGAAUGCCACUAAGCAUUGUGUGCUUUCGAGAAAUAUUAAAAUACCCUUUUAGUAUUUGUAUUUUAAGUAAUUAAUAUUUCAGUAAUAUUUUUUAAAUUAAUGUUCUUCUUUGGAUUUACACACACACUCAAAAUUAUGCACAUGUGCGCACAUUCCUGAGACUAUAGAAUCAAUUAUAUUGUUGGCUUCACUCUUCCCCCUUGAUGUAAGUUUUCAAUGAAAUUUAUCAUUGUAGGUUCCUAUUAGUUGGUGUUUGGUUAGUUGAUAUAGGUGAAAUAGAGUGAAAGUAAUGUCUCAGAAUUGUAUUAUGUCUAAAGAUUUGUAUGUGGAUGUCAUAUUUAAUGUCCAUGCUAAAGUAUUUAUAAAUUUUGUAACAUGGAACACCAUUGGUUUAUAACAAAUUGGCAGAAGUUCAUGUAUGCUGUCAAAUACAGUUAAUUUGUAAAUUUUAUUGAUUUUAUAUUCAGUUCAGCAUUUGUUAAAUGAAUUGUGUGGAUGAAUGAAAAAAAAGUAGCUACAUUCAAAUCCAAGCAUUUUCCCAUUUAUUUUGUAGUAUGCAUAUUUUAGAAAAUGAUUUAUGGCUGUUCUCAUCAUCAUGGAAACAGUAGCUGCUGUAUUUUCAUUUGUUAUUGUAAUUGUUUUCUUUAAAAAUUGGCAUAUAUUGUACAAAAUAAUGGUCUUUGUAUGACAGUCACUGAAUUUUAAAGGCAAUAAUAUGUAAAAAGAAUGAAAUGAGAAUUUCUCAUUUUGAAUUUGUAAAUUGGGAGCAUUUCUCCACUAUGCAAGCAGCUACUGUUUGAGUUACUUUUUAUUUUGUGUUAGAAUACCUAACAGUGAGUAGAUGCACGACUUGUGUAUGUAUAGCUAAGCCAACAUUUUUCUGUGUAUUCUGGGGAAUAGCAAAAUCUACAUCACAAAUUUUGACACAUUACAGCUGAAGGAAGAGGAGGAACACCUUCCAAGACAAAACAGUCUUCAUGGGGGAAAAGUGACGCUUGUCCAGCAGUUUGCUUCUUGUGAUUGAACUGAACCUGUAAGGAUUCAUGGAUUUACUGAACAGGAAUAGAUCUGAAUAAAGCAAAUCUGCAUAAAUGGUAACCAGUAGCUCUACUUUUAUUUUUUAUGUUGCUUAAUUGUUUUAUUUGAAGGAAACGUGUGAUUUAAAAAAAGUUAAUAGCUUUUGCAACUUUAUUACUGGUUAUAUAUAUUUGGCCAUUAUAAUGUGCAAGCAAUUGGAAAAACUUCAAGUACAUGCUUGUUUUUAUAGUAGUUUGUUCUUGUUAAAAUGUUCAUAUGAUAAUGUCUGUAAACAGCACCACUUUGAUUACAAUAGAUGUAGUGUUGUAAUAAACUGUUGAAUGGGGCUGAUGUGUAAAGCUGUUCAAGUUAUUUGAUGUUUACACCUCAGGGAAAGUCUUGUGUGCAGCAAUAUCUAAAGAUAAUGUUAUUAUGACAACAUUUUUACUGUCCUUUAAAAAAAGCAUUGCAAUAGGGUGUUUGGAUAUGCAUCAAUCUAAUCUUGCGUUCAGUGAAUUAAACAUAACCAAUUAAGUGUCUCGCCCUUGAUUUUGAUAUUAGGAUAGGUAAUUACAUGGAUAUUUAAUAUUUCUAUAUUCUGCUUUUCUAGCUGUUUUUACCUAGUUAGCUUGUGAAUUUGCUGAAUGGUAUGUAAACUUGUAAAAACUGAAAUUUGGCAGAUAUAGCAAUUCAGUGAAUGUGUUAGGGGUGAAAAAUUUGAGGUUGUAACAUUUUUGGUAAAGACUCUUGUAUUUGCUACAAUAGUGCAGCUCACUUAUACCCCACAUGUGCUGAGACAGCUAACCCUGAACUGCUAGCAUUCAAGAGAGAUUUGGUAGUUCAGAUCUGACACAGUAAUUUACUGUUUCAUGCUGAUGGUGCCAUAGGCAGUGUAAAUACAGUCCAGCACAUAAUCGUAAGGAAACCCUAGUAGUCUACUGGGUAGAGAUUCUGAAGGGUGUGAUAUUUAUUAAUGUUGGGUUGUAUUCUUCAGUGUGAGUAAUGGGAGAUUAUAGUUGCACCCUGUCCUCAUGGUUCAAGAAAUUCUGUGUAUAUUCCUGUUACCCUCUUGAUUUAUGUUGGAUUAGAGUUAUUGAUCAGUUUAUUCUUUUUUUAAGCUGGCCUUAAUAAAAGGCUGUAUUAAAAGCACCGGCUAGCAUGUGUUGUGCAAAAUUAGCAGAGACAGACUGUCAACUUGAUUGCCUAUUUUUUUUUAUAGGAAGUUAAAACCCAAGUCACUAAAGAAAUUUGAGAUAAAAUCCUUAAGCUAAUUUGUUUUAAAUAUAUUUUAAAGAUCUUAUUACUCAUGAGAGAUCUUUGGAUAGUAAGGCAUUGACUUUUAAAGUUUGUCUAAAUUUAAGGGCAAUGCUAAAGGUACUCCUGUACUGAAGAUAGAGAUGAAGUGCAGCUCAAGAGGCUUGCACUGCUGUUUUUCAGGUUCGUCCUGUCUGCUCUUACCUUUGUUGAGAGUUAGUUUCAGAGUAUCCUUCCACUGCCAGUUCAUUUAAAACAUUUUGUGAGCAGAGUAUUUUUGCAAGAGAUCAUUGGUGUGUACCAGAACUGUUAGCUCUCAGAAGUGCUUUUUCUUAAGCGUUUAAUCUUGUUAAAAUGCAAGUUGCCUUUUAUUUUGAGAGUUGUAUCAAAAUCUGUUUUCUUGUUUUGUGUAUAGGUAUUGUAAGCUUUUGUCAUUUCUUAGCUUUUUUUAAUAGUUUAAUUACAAUACCCUAAUGUGAAGACGUUUGGAUAUACAUAUGUUUACAAGGGAAAUUAGGUAAUAGUAAGAUUAAAAGGUAAGUAAAAUGUCCACUAGAUAAAUUUUUCUCUGAACACUUUUAAAUGGAAUCACAAAUAUAUAUACUUGAAAUGAAACUGGAGAUUUUGUACUAAUUUUAAUCCUUCAUUACCUUUUCUCUUUUUUUAAAUCAGUGGAACCCUCUAAUUGCUUCCUUUAUGUUACCCUUCUCCUUGCUUGACUUAUUUCAUUAAGUGGCUUUGGUUGCAGAUAGUGUCAGUGUACUAGAGUUGCUUGCUGCUGCUAGCCAAUAAGUGUUGUCAGGAAGAAAUAAAACAACUUUGGUUUGACUAAUUUUGCAGUCUCCUACCUGAUAACACAUGAAUGUAUAGCAGUAAAAGUAAAAAAUUCAAACCAUGUUUUCUUUGUCAAAGCCCUUGUGUUAUUUAGGAGCCAUUGUUAUUUGAAAAUUUGUUUUUGAUGUACAAAAAACAAUCCAAAGAGAAGUCUUUGCAUAGACACUAAAUAAAUAAAUAGCAAAAAGGGAGAGAAUGAGGGAGUCUUAAAAAUGAAAAGUCAUUCAGUGGCGAUGGAAACAAGUUUGCUUGAUUUUAUUCCGAAUCCCAGCAUUGUCCAGUGCUGUGCAGUCACAUUCCUCAGCUAGCGGGAAAGUCAUAGAUGCGUGGUAAAGCAUAUGCAUGCUAUUUCUCCUGGAGCAGCACUCUGAGUUCAUUAUACUGCUUUGAUGUAAAGGAAGUAUGUUUGUAGAAACAUUAUUUCAGUGUAAAUUCAAAAAUGUUUGUAUUUUGUCAGUUUUCAGCAAGAUUUUGAGUAGCUUUCUAUAGCUAUUGAGCAUAUAUGUUACCCCAUGUAAUGGUUCCAUUACUUAGAAUAUUCUUAAGCAGUAAACUACAACUUGGAAUUCACAACAUAUAGCUUAAGAUAUUAUUUUCAUUUGGUUCUCCUAUGGAGAAUGUUGCUUUAGUUUUACAAGUUUAAAGUCAGUUCUAAAAAUAAACAUGGAGGUUUUAAUGAACAUUAGAUAACGUUUUAUAGUGAAGGAGAAUUGUUGGAAAGGUUAAUUCUCUUUCCCUGUGUUUUGAAAUGUGCCAAUAACCUAAGUACAUUCUGUUUGAUACGAGAUGCUACUUCAAGGCUCUUCUUUUGGAGUGUUCUUGAUUUACAUUCUAGUUUUGUUACCUAGGUGGUCAUUGCAUUAUCUGUAUCUUACAAGCCCCAGUGUUGCGUUUUAAGCUUCAGUUUAAUUUUUUUAAAAGCAGUUUUCGUUCUGAUUCUUUACUGAAAAUACAGUGUUGAGAUUCUUGCUGUUGCACAGAUAACUGAUUUUUAAAUUUUAUUCACGGAAGUUCAUUUGCAUCCCAUAGCCCUCUGUAAAUGAUUCCCCCAGUUGUAUGUACAUACUAAAUGCACGCUUAUCCAUUGUACAUAUUAGACAUUUUUUUGUGCUAAAAUAUUACCAAGUAGGAUUUUUGUAGCAAAGCAUUUUAUUUUUAUGUUCUUAUAGUAUUUGUGUUAACAUUAAUCUUCAGUUCGAACACUGGUGUAUUUAUUUUUUUAGCAACUUGACUCCUAGAAGCCUUAGACUAAUUUUUAAAUGAAUAUUCAACCAAAAAUUAUAAAUUUAUUGAGAUGUGGCCUUAUAUAUGGUAUUUCUUGUGUUUAUAAUGUGAUUUUUUUUAAAUUUAGAUUUUAUUUAAAUCAAGAUUUAGAAUUAGUUUCUUUUUUGAGUCAAAAUAGAAUGUAUUAAGUGUCUAGGCUUCUGGGAGGAAGUUCUUAUACUCUUCUUUCUUUGCAUUAGAAAGAAGCAAUAUGACUAUGAAUAUUCAGAAUAUUCAAGCCAUUGUGUUAUAUUCAGAUUGACUUAGGUUUGUUUUAACCCAAUGUUUCUUUAAAAGUUGCAGGUUGUUGUCAUUCACUGAAUAUACAGCUACUAUGGUUUUUGUAUGGGAUGUAUGAACUCUUGUUACAUUAUUCCCAGAUUUCAGUGUUUUCAAAACUUCCUGUUACAUUAAUUAUACUAUAGUGGGGGGACUUUGAAAGAAUUAGGUAAAAUUUAAUUGAAGUCACACAAAUCUUGAAUGGUAUCUGUGGAUAGUAAAUACUACGAGCAGUUUUUCAUGUGGGAAUACCUUAAAACUCCACCAUGGGAGUAAAUUACAUUCAUAAUUGGACAGACCAUUCAUUUUAGUAAAAAUAGUUCAUUCUGAAGGUGUAUUUUUUGUUACACUGUAACUGCAUAGCACUUCUCAGCAUUUCUGUAUGCAGAUUAUUUUAAAAUGCAGUGAUAAAUUCAUGUUUAUUUUUUUUACUUUGGAAAUUGUGGUACUCAGGUGGUAUUUAAUAGGAAAUGGCCCUUUGGAGUGGAUCAUAAUGUAUUUUGAGGACUGCAUCUAUAAUAUUUAGGACUUUAGCCUUGAAAAGUUCUAUUAUUUCUCCCCUUGUCUCCCAUGGUGUAUUAGCAAAGUAGUUUACAGCCCAGCACAGCCUUACAAAGUUGUUUUACAAUUUUUAAUGGAAAGCCCUUAGCAACAAAAAAAUUGUAUCAUAUUCCAAUAUCCGUGAAUUAUUGAAUAAUCACCCUUUGUAAAUAAGUUGUCUGAUAAUAUCAGAAGGCCAAAGAAAGUCUUGAGAUUUUAGCUAUUUAAUGUGGUGUGGUGACUUCCUAAGAGUUCUGUGCAAAAGGUAAGGUGAAAUUCUAUCAAGUAGGCAUCCUUUUGAUGCCCGUGAAAGCUAGACUUCAUAUUAGCUUUUUUCAAAAGACAUAUUCCCAUCUUAUUAAAGUGUCUAGAGUUGCAACGUUGUGUUAAUGUUUACUUUGUCUUUUCUUCCUUUAGCAUUUAGGGACUGUUCAGCAGUUUGCUAUACGGUCAUUGUUGGCCUUAAACUGCACUAGUAACAAGCAUGGUGUUUAUCUUGUAUUGAAAUAAAAAACAAAGUUUUGAUAAUA